UCGACGAGAGAAUGCUAGCUUGCUAAUAAUUCUCUAGUGGCGCACGGGUGAGUAACACGUGAGUAACCUGCCCCCGAGAGCGGGAUAGCCCUGGGAAACUGGGAUUAAUACCGCAUAGUAUCGAAAGAUUAAAGCAGCAAUGCGCUUGGGGAUGGGCUCGCGGCCUAUUAGUUAGUUGGUGAGGUAACGGCUCACCAAGGCGAUGACGGGUAGCCGGUCUGAGAGGAUGUCCGGCCACACUGGAACUGAGACACGGUCCAGACACCUACGGGUGGCAGCAGUCGAGAAUCAUUCACAAUGGGGGAAACCCUGAUGGUGCGACGCCGCGUGGGGGAAUGAAGGUCUUCGGAUUGUAAACCCCUGUCAUGUGGGAGCAAAUUAAAAAGAUAGUACCACAAGAGGAAGAGACGGCUAACUCUGUGCCAGCAGCCGCGGUAAUACAGAGGUCUCAAGCGUUGUUCGGAAUCACUGGGCGUAAAGCGUGCGUAGGCUGUUUCGUAAGUCGUGUGUGAAAGGCGCGGGCUCAACCCGCGGACGGCACAUGAUACUGCGAGACUAGAGUAAUGGAGGGGGAACCGGAAUUCUCGGUGUAGCAGUGAAAUGCGUAGAUAUCGAGAGGAACACUCGUGGCGAAGGCGGGUUCCUGGACAUUAACUGACGCUGAGGCACGAAGGCCAGGGGAGCGAAAGGGAUUAGAUACCCCUGUAGUCCUGGCAGUAAACGGUGCACGCUUGGUGUGCGGGGAAUCGACCCCCUGCGUGCCGGAGCUAACGCGUUAAGCGUGCCGCCUGGGGAGUACGGUCGCAAGAUUAAAACUCAAAGAAAUUGACGGGGACCCGCACAAGCGGUGGAGUAUGUGGCUUAAUUCGAUGNCACGCGAAGAACCUUACCUGGGCUNGACAUGUA
rnacentral:rRNA from 1 species